rnacentral:lncRNA from 1 species
AUAUUGUGUGAAAAAGAAAAAAUGAUGUACCCGAAACUCUUCCUUCUUCUUCCACUGCAAAUAUAGAUGAGAAAGAAGGAAAUUCCAGAAUGGAAGAUUCAUCAUUUUGAUUUUUGUUACAGCUUGGAAUAGCACCAUAGAGCACAAAAUGCUUCAGAUUAUAGAGAGGAAGUUCAUCAUUUUGGUACUAAGUUUAUGUUUGGAUAAAUAGUUUAAUUAAGUUCUUUAUUGCAUAAGCGCUUAUUAUAUGAAUGCUUGUGACGUAUAUGUUAUUUCCAUAAACAAAGCCAAACUGUUUCUAUAUAAGUUGUUUUUAUAAGCUAUUAUGGAUAGGGCCUGUUUGGAUUGACUUAUUUUUGAGCUUACGUGAAACAGCUUAUACAAAUAAACAAGCUUUUCAAGAUAGUUUAUGAGAAACAACUUAUAAAGAUAUAAUUUUUGUUAGUGAAAACCUAUGAAUUAACAUAAAAAUUUAUUAAUUUGCAUAAGCUCUUUUCAUAAGCUAAAAAAUAAGCCAAAUCCAAACGGGUGUAAAUAAGCUGAAAACAGCAUAUGUAUAUAGCUUCAAUCUAGUUUCUUGUGUUAUAUAGUUUAUUAACCCACAAAUUUUGCUGCAUUGCUGAAGAGCAAUGAGCAAUCUAUUUUCUAUUUCAUUAUCAUGAAUCAUUUCCUGUUUGAUUAGCUUACUCAAUUGUGCUUACAUUGCUUUUGAUAAAACAAAUAGAUAGCUAAUACUAUUUUUCUUCUGUUAAUAGCUUUUAUCAAUGUGCACUGAGCAUGACUCAUUU